rnacentral:rRNA from 1 species
GACGAACGCUGGCGGCGUGCUUAACACAUGCAAGUCGAACGGAAAGGCCUCUUUCGGGGGGUACUCGAGUGGCGAACGGGUGAGUAACACGUGAGUAACCUGCCCUUGACUUUGGGAUAACUUCAGGAAACUGGGGCUAAUACCGGAUAGGAGCUCCUGCUGCAUGGUGGGGGUUGGAAAGUUUCGGCGGUUGGGGAUGGACUCGCGGCUUAUCAGCUCGUUGGUGGGGUAGUGGCUUACCAAGGCUUUGACGGGUAGCCGGCCUGAGAGGGUGACCGGCCACAUUGGGACUGAGAUACGGCCCAGACUCCUACGGGAGGCAGCAGUGGGGAAUAUUGCACAAUGGGUGGAAGCCUGAUGCAGCAACGCCGUGUGCGGGAUGACGGCCUUCGGGUUGUAAACCGCUUUCGCUCAUGACGAAGCUUUGUGUGACGGUAGUGGGUAAAGAAGCACCGGCUAACUACGUG